GUCAGGGUGGCCGAGUGGUCUAAGGCGCCAGACUCAAGGUGUUGCAUGCCUUCCAGUGAUGUGCUGGGUGUUCUGGUCUCUGUAUGGAGGCGUGGGUUCGAAUCCCACUUCUGACA
rnacentral:tRNA from 1 species